rnacentral:lncRNA from 1 species
AUAGAACCAACACUAGCAAACUCAACAUCAACAAUGUCGACAAACUCUAGCACUACUGUCCUUGCCUUUGCCUUUUGUUUCUUGUCCCUCCUCAGAUUGGCUUACUCCAACACCACUGACGACAAAAUCUACCUCACCGGCCUGGUCUACUGUGACAACUGCCAAUUGAAGUCUAUGACCGAGAUCAGUAAGAUGAUUCCAGGUACGUAACGUUAAUAAGUAGGUAACAAACUACAUAAAUGUGGAUUAUAAGAUUUGAAUAUGAGAUUUAUGCAUGCAUGCAUGCACAUUGCCCAUUGAUCAGGUGCAAGGGUGCGAUUGGAGUGUAGGGAGGGCGGGAACAUAAAAUCCAGACGAGAGGGCGAAACCAACCCGCUUGGAAUGUACGUGUUUGUGUUGGAAAAAUCUAAGGAGCCUUUGGAUGAUUGUCAAGUGACAGUGCUACACAGCCCCGACCCUGAAUGCAAGAUUUCCCACGAGGUCGACCCUAACAACAAAUCGAAAACUGCGCCGGUGGCCACCCGGAAGCUCAACCUUUUGGAGGGAGACAGCGUCGUUUUCAUCGGACCAAGCCACCGCGUUUCCUACCCUCUUGGUUUGGUCGUUGAGAAAGCUCGUCCGGAGUGCGAGCAGUUCGCCAAAGCACGCAAGCAUUUUCAGAACUAAUUUAAGGAAUUGAAGACUAAAUGAAGGCGAAAACCGUCUGAUAUUAAAUCAAUUUUCAAUUUCAGUGAAUUUUUAUUUUUGAUUGCAAAGAUAGAUAAAUUGUGGUUUAAGAAAUCAACAGUUAUGAUUAUGAUAUAUGCUCGGUUAUGAUUCGUGAAUUCACAACUAGUAUAAACAAAGAAGUGUAAUUAGAAGUGCACUCAAGUAUUAUAUCCGUGAAGAUACUGCCAUGUCGAUUAAUCUAGUCUUUUUAUUUUUUACUUUAUUAAUUCUUAAUUAAGAUUCAAUUUAGGACCUAUUUAAAGAGAAGAAAAAUAUGAUUUAAAAUCUAUCUUAUAACCUAAUAAUCUCCUAAUCAAAAUACUAAACUUUUAACAUGUCACCUAUCAAUUUUGCCCUUAAUUAUACUAAGCUUAAAUUCCAUGGUCCAUACUAGUUUGAUUUUUAUUUUUUAUUUUAAUGUGAAAAUUUGGUCUUUUCUUUAAAAUAAUGUGCUAGAUAAGCGUGAAAGUAGCAAAUAAAUAAUGAUGUGUUCACAUUGGAUUUGACACACAUCUCAACCCAUAUCAUCAUUAAGGCCCCAAAAAUUGAAUCAUUAUGUGCCGGUUAAUACGUUAAGUAGUUUAUGAAGUGAUUAAGAUCAAAGGGGAUCCAUGACUUGUAAUGGAUCACUUGUUCAUUUCCUUAAAAAAAUAAUUAAAUAAAUAAACUCGCAAUACCGACUCCAUUCGUAAUUCCAUCAAUUACUCAUCUAUCAAAAAAAUUAGUUAGUUCAGCUAAUCUUCUUAUACUGUUAGUAAAGGAUAAUGUGAAAUUAGCAAAAAAAUAAUGAUUAACGGCCCAAAACAUUGAAUUAUUGUGUGCCUAAGUUAGAAAAUCUUCGAAGGCACGUAGAAAGACAGGUCCCCCAUCUAGUAUACUAUGAGGAAAAGGACGGCUCACAAGAAGUUUAUGUACUAUAAAAUCCCAGAUGCUCAUUGAAUGUCUUGUGCCCAUCCAAGAUUAAAUAUAUUUCCAUAGAAUACGUACCAAUUGUGCUUAUUUACUUUUUACCAUGGCUCUCACAAAUCGAGGCCAAUACCUCUACGUAGAUUUUCUUUUCAUUUUGGCCAUUUGCUCCUCUCAAGCAUCGUCUCGCCAAAUUUAUGAUGAGAAAACCAUGUUGGCGAGACAUGAAGACUAGAUGGCUCAAUUUGGGCCAGUUUUUUUUAUAAGGAUGCAGAGGAGAAAGAGAGGUGAUUCGUGAUAUUAUCAAGGCCAACUUGGAGUUCAUUGAGGCUUUGAACAAGCACAUGGGUCAGAACUACUUCACUCUAGACUAAGCUUAAAUGAAUUUGCAGACCUAACCAAUGAGGAGUUUCGGGAAAUUCGUAAUGGUUACAUGAAACGAUCCUCCAAAUUGAUCAUGUCCAAUUCCACGAAAGCUACAAGUUUUGGAUAUUGAAAUAUCACUGAAGUGCCACCUUCAGUGGAUUGGAGAGAAAAGGGUGCAGUGACGCCUAUCAAGGACCAAGGCAAAUGUGGUAAGUAUUAAACAAGUUGUUAAAUGAUGACGCAUUCACUGUUUCACAACAUAACAUGUUCUUGAAUGAUGAGGCAUGUUAUUUCAAUUUUAUAGGGUGUUGUUGGGUGUUCUCAGCAGCGGCAGCGACAGAAGGGGUUAACCAGCUCAAAACCGGAAACUUAAUCUCACUAUCAGAGCAAGAGCUUGUGGAUUGUGACACUACAGGUCAAGAUCAUGGCUGUGAAGGUGGUCUAAUGGAUGACGCUUUCCAAUUCAUCCAACGCAAGAAAGGCUGACAACUGAAGCUAAUUGCCCCUACCAGGGUGUAAAUGGAACUAGUUGCAACACUCAGAAGGCUGCAUCCCAAACAGUGUCCAUAAACGGCUACGAGAAUGUGCCUAAAAACAACAAAAAUGCUAUGUUGCAAGCCGUCGCUAACCAACCAAUUUCGGUUGCCAUUGACACAAGUGGUUGUACAUUCCAGUUUUAUUCAAGUGGUGUGUUCACUGGAACAUGUGGUAUAAACUUAGAUCAUGGUGCGGGACUAGUAGUGAUGGGACUCUAAAUACUGGCUGGGGAGGAAUUCUUGGGGCACGGUGGGCGGAGAGUGGAUAUGUGACGAUGCAAAUGGGCAUUCCUGCCAAGGAAGGACUCUGUGGCAUUGCUAUUGAAGCUUCUUAUCCAACCGCAUGAUUAAUUAAAAUACAUAUAUAUGUCUGUAAACACGAAUUUCCUGCGACAAAUGAGAAAAAAACACAUAUACAAAAUAAUAUUUGUAUUAAUGAAAUUUAGGGUUACAAUCUCUGUAUUGAAUCCUCUGAUUCGAUCUCCAAAGUGUUUAAAGAAAAUUUGCGAUUGAUAGAAGGGUCGUAGAGACUUGAUCUUGAUCAAACGGGUAGCACAAGGCUUGUUUGGUGUUUGGAUUUUUCUAGGAUGGAGGAACCGGCACAUAUUUGUUGUGCUUGAUGGCUCUUCCAAAGUGAGGUGAAGAAUGCAGAGAGUUUUCUGUUUCUUCUGAAUGCUUUGUCUGUCUAGGCCCCCUUCUUUCGCCUUGAGGCCUCCUAUUUAUAGGCUCCUACAGGAUGCUUGACCUAAAUAGCUUUCCUUUUUUAGGACCCUGCUUUGUGGAAUUCUGAUUUGAUUUAAAAUCAAUUCCAAUAAUUUGGCAAUUUAACCAAAUUAUCUUUGAUUGAUUGACUUGAUUAAUAUUUGAUUUAAAUCAAAGUCAAUCACAGAAGAUUCUUUCCUUUAAUUUUGUCUUCACUUCGAACUGUUUGAUGCACUUCGUCGGAUGUCAACAUGUAUCACUUUUGACAACUAAUCUGAAUUUGAUGAGUCGUACGCCACAUGAACUAAUUAUGGGCCCCACAAUUUAAUCAACCAAACCCUAAUUAUUUUCUUACUUAGUGAAUUUAAUUCACCAAAAUUUCCAUGUCUACAAUGUCAUAAUAUAGUGUGUUGUAUAAAAUAUGUAUAAUUGAAUAAUACAGAAAGACGCUAGCUAUGAGCUGCUAUCCUUCACUUUGAAAUCCAUGCCUCAGAACAUAGAGACAAUUAACCAUGACGUGGAUUUGCUCUUAAAAUCUCACGCAAUUAAUUAGCAGCUCUAGCUAUGAGGUUGAAAUGUUUUCAAUACCAUUGCAAGGUUAAAUCAAGUUAGAUUAAGGGAGCAUAUUUUUGUUCAUCAUCAUUCUCAAUACUUGACACGUGUCUAUUAGUAUAAUCAUGAUUCCUUAAAUUUAUACAGCAAAGAAUUAACUAUGGUUAUGCCAAUGAACACGUACCAAGUGUUAAGAUGGGGGGUGGAUUGGAUCUAAUGUCUACAACUGUAUUCAAUUUAAUUAACUGUAGGAUUCAUUUACAAGGCGAGUGGAAGGAGUCAUCAAUUUUGAAUUAACAAGUUUCUACUUUAACGUAUAACAACUAUGUUCAUAUUUAUUGGCUGGAUAAGUUGUUAUAUUCAGCCCAUUACUAGGAUAAUGUAUGCACUUAAGAUCCAAGUGCUUUGACUUUUGUGCCACAUAAAAUUACAUUCUUUUUCUAAUAUUUUAUGAUGUAAAUUUUUUAAUUUUUUAAUUUUGAAAUCAUUUUUUGGUCCAAUAUUACCCCUUAUGACUUGAAUUGGGUAAUAGUCAUUUAUGUCAUAUUGCCUAUUACUUGUUGCAUAGGUAUAUAUAUGUCUUUUCAUAUUUUCGACAAUGUGUCAUAGUAUUUUAUGUACCUUUUUUUAAUAGGUAACAUACAAUUUUAUUUUGUCUAUUUUUGUAUUUGACUUAUACGUAGUUUUCUAAUUUAUGUUUCUAACUUAUAGAUAACACGAUUUAUCACUCAGUAUUUUUCGUUGCUAAUAAUAACACUAUUUACCUGUAUGUCAGGUACAUAAUUUAAUGUCGGUGCUUGUCUGAUAGAUUAGUAUAAUAUGUGGGUCUUUACUUUUUAUUAAUUAAAUUGUAUUUUAUCCAUAUAUUAGGAAUAUUAUCAAAGAAAGAAUUUAUAUUUUAAAUUCUGAAAUUCAAUUACAAGGAAAUAAUGCAUUAAAUUUAGAUUUUCAAUGUGGUUUCCUUAUUUACCUCAAAGAGUAAAAUUGACACAACAAAAAGAGUAAUAAAUGUCAAAGGACCUACAUCUAAAACCAAAAAAACGAGGACUAAACCCAAUGGCCGCUAAUCGUUUUGGACCUAGAUCUAAGAAACACUUUUAUUUAUUAUCUAACAUCAUUGCAUGCCAUUGACAGUGUGCCUAUGGAUGAGGAAGAGAAAGUUGUGCUUGACUGAUGAUUGACGGAAACUUCCGCAAGUAAAUCCUCAAUGCUACCAGUUGAAGGCCCUUCGAUGCUAAAGUUAGCUUAAGGGGAUGAGAGCAAGCUAUCGACAAUGCAAGGACAUAAGUGUCAAGUAGCAAGUCUUACCCUGUAUCUGGGGUGAGGAGCUAUAUUUAUAGGGAGUUCUAGGUUUUUUUUGGUACUUAGUUUCGAUGUGGGACUCGUGGGAGUGCCUUCCGAGGCAGAAACGCGUCUCAACAAAUAUCCUAGCGAUGAACUCGAGAACAUCCUACAAGAUGCCUUCUAAGGCGUAGAAUUGGCAAAAGACCCUUAAGGUUGUGCGUAGAAUCGAUCGUGGGUGUCGAAAAGACCUACCGAUUCGUACUAUUGGGCUUGCCAGCAUGGGCCAUGGAGCCUUCUUUAGUGUCAUACCCCUUCCACGUGUCAUGGCAUGAGAUGCGGGUCAGGUUAAAUUAAUUAAACCCAUUAUGCAAUGCAUUUCCUUUCAAUUUUUUGUGAUAAACUAAUAGAUAAUUGACUAAAUAAACAUCCUCCAAAGUUUAAAAAAAAAAAUACCAAGUUUUUCUUACAAUUUCUGUAGUUUUUAUUCAAUUUUUAUCGAUAUCGAUAAUAUCCCUAUAUUUCCAUCGAAAUUUCCGUAUUUUUAAAAUGAGACACACCUAUUUUCAAUUGACUACCUAAUUAGUUAACAAAUUAUGAAAUAAAUAAAUAACAAACCAUACAAUCAUGUUUUGAUUCUAAGAUGCUGACAAGUAUGUAUGUUUUUGGGAAAAUAUAUAUUAGGGAGAAGAUAUUAUUGUACCACAUUAUGAAUCACUUUUCUGAUAGAUAUGAGACCUACUUAUAUUGGUAGGUCAUACCUUUAUUAGAGAGGUGGUACAUUAUGCAAUACAAUGAUGUAGUUUCUCCAACAUUACUUUUAUCUUUAAUCAACAUGUAGAACUGUUUCGAACUUGGAAUUGCUUUCAACAUUGGGCUACGUGGGCAGGAAUUCUAGGCUUGGCUUACAAUUCUCUCAUUCUCCAACCUCUUGGAUUUGCUUGCUUGGAUUACCUUAUUGCUGGCUCAUUUGGCUUCAGUUGAGCCACAUUUAGUGCCAAAUCAAAUCGCAUCUUUGUCAUGCCUUUGGCCUUCGAAUCCACUAUGACCUAUUUUGCUCUUCUUUCAACAGUAGUCAUGUUUGAUCCAACCUUGGCUAAGGUUUGAUUCGGCUUAGCUAAAUUUGCAUUCACCAUGUUGGUCUGGGCAGAUGGGAAAGGGUCCUUGUUGAUUGGACUCUUGUCACCCCCAAUUCGAAAAUAAAGAAUAUUCCUGAAUUAGGGUACGUGAAUUGAAUGAAAUAAAAUAAAAAGACUGAAAAAUUAGUUAAAAUACAUUUUUCUUAUAUAAAAAUAAUAAUAAACUUACAAGUGUACAAGAUAUAAAUCUUUUUUAUUUAUUAUCUAACAUCGUUGCAUGCCAUUGACAGUGUGCCUAUAGAUGAGGAAGAUAAAGUUGUGCUUGACUGAUGAUUGACGGAAACUUUCGCAAGUAAAUCCUCUCUAGCAUAGCUUGUGCCGGAAGUGCAAUUGAGGAGCUAUAUGGGUUUGGUGUUGUCUGAGUGUAUUAAGAUGUAUCAAUGGUAUUUUUGGUAGUUAAAUAGGAUGUACUUAGUUAAUUUUACAUUUUAAUUUAAAUAUUAGGGUGUACUUAAAUCAUAGAGUGUACUCAAUUAAUUUUAGAAUUCGUUUAACCACACUCUAUUAUUAUUAAUAGUUUUCUAUCAAAACAAACCCUUAAGGUCCUUAACUAUUGGCUUGCAGCCACAUAUAAUUACUGUGGUGACCUUCUCGAAUGAUCAAUUUUUAUUCAUUUAAGUUGUUGAUCAACUGCUGCAGGCAAGUUAUUCUCCUGAACUCGAGUCCCAUCAAGAGCGGGUCAAGGGGGUGAGUAAUUGUGUCAAUUCCACAUGUAAACAAACAAAGGCUCACAAACUCUCCAAAAUAUACGCAUUCUUUGCUUCUUUUCCCUUUAUAAGAAGAAGAAAGCCCUGUCUAAUUCAUCAUCAGCAAUACAUAGAAUAGAACCAACACUAGCAAACUCAACAUCAACAAUGUCAAGAAAGUCUAGCACUACCGUCCCUGCCUUUGCCUUUUGUUUCUUGUCGCUCCUCAGUUUCGCUUACUCCAACACCACCAAUGACAAAAUCUACCUAACCGGCCUGGUCUACUGUGACAACUGCCAAUUGAAGUCUAUGACCGAGAUAAGUAAGAUGAUUCCAAGUACGUAACGUUAAUAAGUAGGUAACAAACUACCUAAAUGUCGAUUAUAAGAUUUGAAUAUGAGAUUUAUGCAUGCAUGCAUGCACAUUGCCCAUUGUUCAGGUGCAACGGUGCGAUUGGAGUGUAGGGAGGGGGGAACAUAAAAUCCAGCCAAGAGGCCGAAACCAACCAGCUUGGACUGUACGUGUUUAAGUUGGACAAAUCUAAGGAGCCUGUGGAUAAUUGUUAAGUUGAAAACUGCACCGGUGGCCACCCGGAAGCUCAACCUAUUGGAAGGAGACAGCGUCAAUGUCAUCGCACCAAGCCACCGCGUUGCCUACCCUCUUGGUUUGGUCGUUGAGAAAGCUCAUCCCGAGUGCGAGCAGUUCGCCCAAGCGCGCAAGCAUUUUCAGAACUAAUUUAAGGAAUUGAAGACGAAAACCGUCUGAUAUUAAAUCAAUCUCCAAUUUCAGUGAAUUUUUAUUUUUGAUUGCAAAGAUAUUAAGGCACGUAGAAAGACAGGUACCCCAUCUAGUAUACUAUGAGGAAAAGGACGGCUCACAACAAGUUUAUGUCUAUAAAAUCCCAGAUGCUCAUGAGCCAGAACUACUUCAUUCUAAGCUUAAAUGAAUUUGCAGACCUAACCAAUGAGGAGUUUCGGGAAAUUCGUGAUGGUUACAUGAAACAAUCCUCCAAAUCGAUCAUGUCCAAUUCCACGAAAGCUACAUGUUUUGGAUAUUGAAAUGUCACUGAUGUGCCAUCGUUAGUGGAUUGGAGAGAAAAGGGUGCAGUGACGCCGAUGAAGGACCAAGGCAAAUGUGGCAAGUAUUAAACAAGUUGUUAAAUGAUGACGCAUUCACUGUUUCACAACAUAACAUAUUAUUGAAUGAUGAGGCAUGUUAUUUCAAUUUUAUAGUGUGUUGCUGGGCAUUCUCAGCACUGGCAGCGACAGAAACUUAAUCUCACUAUCAGGUCAAGAUCAUGGCUGUGAAGGUGAUCUAAUGGAUGACGGUUUUCAAUUCAUCCAACGCAACAAAAGGCUGACAACUGAAGUUAAUCACUCCCACCAGGGUGUAGAUGGAACUAGUUGCAACACUCAGAAGGCUGCAUCCCAAACAGUGUCCAUAAACGGGUCGAGGAUGUGCCUAAAAACAACCAAAAUGCUAUGUUGCAAGCCGUCGCUAACGAACCAAUUUCGGUUGCCAUUGACGCAAGUGGCUGUACAUUCCAGUUUUAUUCAAGUGGUGUGUACACUGGAACAUGUGGUAUAAACUUAGAUCAUGGUGCGGGACUAGUAGUGAUGGGACUAAAUACUGGCUGGGGAGGAAUUCUUGGGGCACGGUGCGGGGAGAGUGGAUAUGUGACGAUGCAAAGGGGCAUUCCUUCCAAGGAAGGACUCUGUGGCAUUGCUAUUGAACCUUCUUAUCCAACCGCAUGAUUAAUUAAAAUACAUAUAUGUCACACUUUUCUAACCAAAUUGUGAAGUGCCCAUGUAUUUCUUUCUCUGUAUUUUUCUAAUUUUCCUUUUCUCACUAUCAUUGCUACCCUUUCACAUCUUUUAUUGUCGUACUUCGAUUUGUAGUGAUAAAUUGCCGUUCAAAUUUUCUUUGUGUGUAUUUUUAAUAAAUUACAUUUCAUUUUAUUUUUUCCAUGGAUUGAUGUUCAGUAGAUAGUUUUAAUAUAAUAUGUAAAUAAUAUAGUACAAAAAUUAGAGAUUUUGUAUCAAGUAAAAAAUUAGUUUCAUUGUCACCCUAAAGAAAAAUAUAUUUCAAUAUAUAAGGUGCCCCCUAUGUGAAAAUUUUCUGGCUCCGCCACUGUCCAGGUUACCUUUUGCGUGAUCAUACAACAAACAUCCAAAAAUGCACCAAUCUAGUUAAAAUUCAAAACAAAUUUAAAGAUUUUCACAUCUUAGUUAAAGGAAAUUCAUUGUUCCUGUGCUUCCUACGCACACACAAUUUCCAUGAAUCAAUUGACAAUGUGAUAUUAACGUUACCAUAUAACAUUUUCAACAUUAUCAUCUCGUCCUAGCAUUCAAGUAAAGAAAAGAAUACACGUAUACAGAGAUUAUUGAUGUCUAAAUUUGAAUCAACGGAUUAAGACCGUAAAAACGACACAUUCACAUCAUGACACACACUCAAGUCAAGCUACGUCCAUAAUAUACAAUUAGUAAACUGAAUUAUAUGAAUCUACAAGUACGGGAUAUAAAAGCUACAAGCCCUACAUGCUACAAUAUAUGUCCUAUUUUUGGGUCAACUGUUCCUUAUUCUCUUUCAUAGUACAAUCGAGUUUACAUGUUAGGAUCCUAUCGGGGAUAUUAAACGCUGAAAAGGAAAUAAUCAAUUCUCAAUAAGCCCUUAAGAUCGCCUAACCAAGACACAAGCCUCAUAUAUAUUGUGGGAACCGAAUUAAAUUAGAACCCUAGGUCAAAUAAUUCAUUCCAUUUGAGGAUUGUUUGACCUAAUUGGGAAUUAUUCAACCUAAUUGGGAGUUACUCAAUUUAAUUAGGGAUUACCCAAUUAAAUGGAAUGUUACCUAAUUAGGUUGAGAAUUGAUUUGAUUCCUAUCACAAUUCCCAAUUAAAUGAGGAGUUACCUAAUUAAAUUAGGAAUUGAUUUGAUACCUACCACAAUUAGGGAUUUGAUUUACCCUUAUUAAUCAAAUCAAUUCCAAAUUGGGGAGGAAUAAUUUCAUUCCAUCUACGGAAUUAUUCCUCUGAAACCCUAGCCUCCAAGACCACUAUAAAAAGAUGGCCACACACAAGGGUUGAGGUACGUCUGAAAUUUCUACGGAAACUCUGUAGAAAAUUCCUCUCAAACCCUAGCCACCUCCUCUCUCCCUCUCUUUUACAUAAGGCUACGGCCACCCGGUUUACACCAUAAACAUAUCUCCGUACCCUAUUAGCUAUUGUUUUUUAUAUGAUUCAAUUGAACUAAUUUAGGCAUCGGAGGGCCUUUGGCCAGCACCCCCGUGUGUGGUCCUCUUAUUUGUUCUAUUUUGCAGGGAGAAAGAGGCGGCGAAGAAAGAAGGAGAAUCUUUCCAAUCGAAUAUUCUCGUAAGGAAAUUUGCUCCCAUAAAUUGGUGCUUUCAAUGAGAGCACAAGAUAUACUCAAAGUGUGCUCCAAACUUAUUUUCCAAUCCACCGAAGCCUUCCAAACAACCAUGGUUGGAAGCAAGAAGACGAGAGGUAAAACCAUAGCGAUGGCUAAAUCCGCCACGGCCCAAAGCCACUCCACCCACUAUCCCGCGAUCGAUAUGGUGGCAUCACCACCUCUCACCACCGUGCCACCCACCGGACUUGCAGCUGAAACCACCGCACCUGCCACCGCUGCCGAGCAUGGUGGAACCUCCCAUCAAGGUGGGCUCAUUACCACCGCCAACCUAGGACCAAUCUUGGAGAAACUUCAAGCAUUCCCUCCAUUGCCUCCACGCUCGACGCACGCUCCCGCGUACACCUCCAAAGAAACCCUAGCCCGUGUGCGAAAAGCUGGGCCCAUGACUUGACAUCUGCUCUAGCCUGGGCUCGCAUGGAAAUGUACAUCAAAGGUUAGGCCCCUAGGGAGAUUAGCCAAACAACCAUCGCAAAGAGGAUCGUGAAGAAAGAUGCUCAGCUGUCUGCCCGCAGAGGAGCAUUCAUGAAAGGCUAGGUCCCGAGGGAGGUCAACUGGAUAACCCUCACAAUGAGGACCAUGGGGAAAGGCGCUCUGCUGCAAACUCUGAAAGAGUUCAUUCUUGUCGACAAGCUACAGAAAAUCCUUCACAAGCGCAGUCCACACGCCUCCUAGGCAGCGCAGGCUAGAAGGUCGACCCUCGAAAAUCAAUGAGGAAGUCAGUCAGCAUGGCCCAAAUCAUGAAGGUCGCCAACGUGGCCGACCAGCAAUGUGUGCGGAAAACAUUGAGAAGCUUGUAAAUGACCGACUUUGAGACUUGAAGACCGGCGAAAAUUUCGAACAUGCACUACGUAAGGAGAUAGACUAGACAAACUCUACACCUUUCACUGCCGAAAUCGAGCAGGCAGCAACCCCGAAGCGAUUCUCAACGCCUACCUAAAACACUUCAAAAGUGUCAUGAUCCUCCACAAGGCCGACAACACACUAAUGUGCAAGGUGUUUGCGAUGACCUUGCGAGGAGCCGCCCAAGACUAGUUCCACACUCUACAAUCCAGGUGGAUCAGCAGCUUCAAGGAGCUGACUUAGGUAUUCACUAAAGAAUACACCUCUUACUGGACAAUCAAGAAGAACCCUGACCACCUGUACAACCUGCACAAGAAGUCCGACAAAUCCCUUCGAGAUUACAUCAAGAGAUUAAAAGCAUAAAAGGCCAACAUUGUAGGAUGUGACGAUUGAAUUGCGUCCUCUGCUUUCAAGAAAGGCCUUCCGACUGAGCACGAAUUGUACCGCGAGCUGACCAUCACUCCCAGCUAGACUCUGGCAGAGAUCUACGAGGUUGCGGAACUCUAUGAGCUCUGGGAUGAUGAUCGAAUCGCCGCAAAGAAGUCUACUAACCAAGACGAUCAGCCGACUAAGCAGGCAGGCCAAAGAAGCGACGAAUUUAGCAACAAGAAAAAAGACAAGCGUAGGUCGCACCCACAAGGGAACACUACGGCAGGAGAGAACUACAUCAAAUUCACCAUCCCCAUACAUUAAAUCUUAGCCCAAGUGAAGAACGAACCUUGGGUAAGAAGACCACCACCCUUGAAAGGAGAUCCGGACAAGAGGGAUGCUAGCAAAUACUGUGCCUUCCAUGGGACGCACGGGCACACCAUGAACAACUUCUUCGCUUGGAAAGCGCAUCUUGAAGAACUCGUGAGAGAAGGUCACUGCACGAAAUUCAUUGCGAAGCAGGCCAUCCAGCAGAUUGAAGAUCGUGACACCGCCAAGGAACCGCUCUAAAAGGUCAUAAGAAUUAACACAAUCCUAGCCAACUCCGAGGAGUAUGGGCUGACCGGGAAGGAAAAGAAGAAGAAGAUCAAACAAGCCACCGUGAUCUCCCAAAUCUCGACCGACCUUCCACUAGUAAAAGACGAUCCUGUAAUCGGCUUCCAAAAGAAAGAUAUGAUUGGCCUCGACAUGCCACAUAACGAUGCCCUUGUCAUCAGCAUUCAAAUCGCCCAGGCCAUGGUCGAUUGAAUCCAUGCAGAUGAGGGCAGCGCAACCAAUAUCUUGCAACUGGCGGUCAUCCAGCAGAUGGGCUUGGAGGCAAAGAUCAACAAAUCAGCCAGAUCGAUGACCGGCUUUAAUGGUGCAACAACGGUUACCGUGGGCACGAUAGACCUCGACGUCUACUCCCCACCUGUAAUCAGCUUGUAAACAUUCAGGGUCAUUAAUGAGGUCUCACCCUAUAAUGGCAUCAUGGGCAGACCAUGGAUUGGCAAGAUCAACGCCAUGACUUCUGCCACACAUCAGAAAAUUCGAUACCCAAUUCCAAGGGGCAGUGUCAGCCAAAUCAACAGCGAUCAUGCAAUGGCGAGGAAAUGCUCCGCCUAAGGGCUGAAGAAAAGCAAACAAGCACAAUUCCUCCAGGUGAGCCAGGCAGAUCUGAAGGAGGUUGAACAACCGAAUCUUGCUCCCUUAUAGCACUAAAAGCGUCAUGACCAAAUCGAGGACAUCUGUCCAGAGGUCUCUUCUGAAGAAGGAUGGAAACCUGAAGAGGACGUCGAGUUAAUACCCUCGGAUCCUGACCAGCAAGACAAAAAAGUGCAGAUCGGCUCGCGCCUAAGCCCAGACGAGAAGGUGGAGCUGACCACCUUCCUCCAGAACAACAAAGACAUGUUCACAUGGUUGCCGUCAGGUAUGCCUGGCAUCAUCCCGAACAUCAUCUGCCAUCGACUCUACGUCAACCCUACCAGCAAGCUAGUGGCACAUAAAAGACGCAACUUCGCUCCCGAGCGGGUCGCUAUCAUCAAUAGCAGAGAUUGACAAACUGCUAGCUACCAGCUUCAUCGAAGAGGUCUCCUACUCGGAGUGGCUGGCCAACAUUGUUCGGUGGCCAAACAAGAAAAAGGCAAAUGUAUAGUCUAUGUCGAUUACACAGACAUCGACAGAGCAUGCCCUAAAGACAAGUUCCCAUUGCCGAGAAUCGACUAACUCGUGGAUUCCACUUCUGGCAAUCAGCUGCUCAGCUUCAUGGAUGCCUACUCCAGCUAUAACCAAAUCCUAAUGCACGAGGAUAACAAGGCAAAAACCUUUUUCAUCAUCUAGAGAGGAACCUAUUGCUCCCUUUGGACUGAAGAACGCCUGAGCAACCUACCAAAGGCUCGUGAAUAAAAUCUUCAAGGAGCAGAUCAGCAAAACCAUGGAGGUCUAUGUGGACGACAUGCUGGUCAAAGCCCCAAAACGUGCAGAUCACAUCAAAAAUCUCGCUGAGACAUUCAGCCUGCUUCACUAGUAUUGCAUAAAGUUGAACCCGAGUAAAUGCACAUUUUGUGUAUCCUCCGGCCGAUUCUUAUUAUGCCUAGUCACACAACGCGGUAUCCAGGCACACCCACGUCAAAUCAAAGCCAUUCUCGAGAUGAAGUUGCCUUCCACAGUGAACAAAAUACAAAUUCUGACGGGCAGAGCAGUGGCCCUCAACCGAUUCUUCUCAAGAUCAACCGACAAGUGCAGACCAUUCUUCAAAGCUUUGAAGCAAUGUCAAAGAGACAAAUGGGAUGAGGAGUGCGAAGUAGCUUUCCAGAAUCUGAAGAAUUAUCUCACAUCACCUCCCCUGCUCUCAAAGCCAGUCCCCGGUGAGGACUUGUUCGUGCACCUGGCAGUGUCCAACUCAGCUGUCAGCUCAGCUCUCAUCCGAGAAGAGCUAGGGGCCCAACAUCCGAUAUUCUACACGUCAAAAGCUCUCCUCAAUGCAGAGACUUGCUACCCGAAAUUGGUAAAGCUCAUUCUAGCUCUUAUAGUUUCCGCGAGAAAGCUGCAACCCUACUACCAAGCUCAUCAAGUCAUCGUCAUGACCGACUAUCCUUUGAGAUCAAUCCUCUUUGGCCCUGACGCUUCUCAGCGACUUAUGAAGUGGGCUACAGAGCUAAGUCAAUAUGACCUCCUCUAUCGGCCAAAAACUGCAAUAAAAGCCCAGGCUUUAGCUUUAGCAGACUUCGUCGCAGAAUUUACCCCAUCAGAUGAAGAAGAGAAGCUGGUCAACAAAAAGGAAAGUUUGAAAGUAGACGGAACCUCUACUGAACCUAGCCAACCCAGAGACAUGUGGCAAUUGUGUGUAGACGGAGCGUCGAACCAAAAGGGAGUUGGAGCAGAUGUGGACGUCAUAGUUGGAACCAAGGAGCUGAAGAUUGCAUUUUUUGUGGUAGACACAACUUCUACCAUUUACAAUGCAUUGCUUAGCAGGAACUGGUUCCACCAAAGCUUAUGUGUUCCUUCCACUCUGCAUCAGCAAUUGGCCCUUUGGGAUGAAGAAGGUGUCAUAGAGAUAGUAGAGGCUAAUCCAUGGCCAUUUCUACCAUCUGCCAUGUGUUUUGAAGCAAGGUAUUAUCAUGAUGACCUUGGUCCUUUCACAUUCUUCGGAGUCAACCACAACGGCCGCCGCCAUGGUGUCACGACCCAGAGACUCAUUGAAGAUGGCCUAGCCAAUUCUCUAGAGGACUAGAAUAGACCUUUUGUUCUGAACCUCCAGAACUUUGAUGUUUACUACCAAUCAAUAAGAAAAGGAUCGAGCUGCAACAAUCCGAUCCAUUACAAAAAGAUUAUUGAUAUUUUGGGAAGAAAUGAAGCUCUUCAUGCAGAAUCCAACCAUGGCAGAAUUCAUCCAUGAGAGCACUGAAGAACAGGAAGAUAGUUUAUAGGAGGAAGUACUAGAUUUUGCACCAGCAGCACUAGAUGACUCUUUACCGGAAAUGGAAGAUCCGUUACAGGAGAUAAACUUAGGGACAUAAGAGGAUCCAAGACCCACUUUCAUUAGUGUGCUGUUAAAAGAGCCACUCAAGGGUGAAAUCAUUGCCAUGAGAUGCCUGGACUGGAUAGAGAAUUGGUAGAACACAAGUUGCCAAAAGGAUACCUUCCAGUCAAACAGGCCAAAAAAAAAUGUCUAUGGAAACUGAACUGAAAGUUAAAGAAGAGAUAGAAAGACUGGUUAAAGCAGGAUUCAUCAGACCAGCCAUUUAUGCUGAUUGGCUAGCCAAUAUUGUGCCGGUUCUGAAAAGAAAAACAAGGGCAGUUAGGAUCUGUGUGGAUUAUAGGAAUCUGAAUGAAGCAACUCCUAAAGAUGAAUAUCCUAUGCCAAUGGAAAAUCUGCUAGUCGAUGGAGCUGCUCAUAGCCAAAUGCUAUCUUUUAUGGAUGGAAAUGCAGGAUAUAAUCAUAUUAUGGUGGCAGAAGAAGACAUCCACAAGACAGCCUUCAUGUGUCCAAGACAUAUAGGUGCUUUUGAAUACACUGUAAUGCCUUUUGGCUUAAGAAAUGUAGAAGCCACUUAUCAAAGAGCAAUGAAUUCUGUUUUCCACGACAUGAUUGGUCAUUCUUUAGAAGUUUAUAUAGAUGAUGUGGUGAUUAAGUCCCCAGAAGAAGGAGAUCAUGUGUCAAAUCUAAAAAGAGUAUUCCUAAGAGUGAGACAACAUAAGUUGAAAAUGAAUCCCAAGAAGUGUGUUUUUGGAGUUCAAGCAGGAAAUUUCUUAGGUUUCUUGGUCCACCAAAAGGGCAUAGAGAUCGAUAAAAAUAAAGCAAAAUCCAUCAUAGAAGCUCUACCAUCCCGGAACAAGAAAGAACUGCAGAGUCUCCUAGGAAAAAUUAACUUUCUAAAGAGAUUCAUAUCCAAUUAUUCAGGAAAAAUCCAGCAUUUCUCCUCCUUGUUAAGGUUGAAGCAGGAACAAACAUUCAAGUGGGAGGAACAACACCAGCAUGCUUUUGAGGAAAUCAAAUUCUACCUCUCAAAUCCUCCAGUUCUGUCCUCCCCAAAGAGAGGCAUACCACUCAAAUUGUAUGUUUCGGCAUUAGGACUGUCCAUUGGGAGUCUGCUCGUUCAAGAUAACAAGGAAGGGAAGGAACAAGCAGUCUAUUAUCUAAGUAGAACUCUGACAGAAGUAGAAAGGAAAUAUUCUGCAAUUGAAAGACUUUGUCUAGCCUUAUACUUCACUGCUGUAAACCUGAGACACUACAUGCUACCAUUCACCAUCUACAUCAUUGCCAAGACAAACCUAAUUAAAUACAUGUUAACAAGGCCAAUGUUGAGGGGCAGAAUUGGCAAAUGGACUUUGGCUUUGACAAAAUUUGCUUUCAGAUAUGUUCCUUAGAAGGCUGUCAAAGGACAAGCUGUAGCAAAUUUCCUAGCAGAUCAUCCAGGAGAAGAGAUUGAAAACAUGGAUUCUUUGGAUAUAGCAAAUGCAGAUCUGUUGACUAGAGCUCAUACUUGCCUUAACAAUCCCAUCUAUUAUGUUCACCUCACACCUUGGAAGCUGUACUUUGAUGGAUCAAAGACUGAUGUAGCCUCUAGGGCAGGAAUUGUUUUAGAUGAGCCACUAGGGAUCAGACACUAUUAUUCUUUCCAGUUAGAUUUCCAAUGCACCAACAACAUAGCUGAAUAUGAAGCUUUAAUCAUUGGCCUUGAGAUGCUGGUGGAAUUAGGAAUCCAAUCUGUGGAAAUCUUGGGAGAUUCUAUGCUUGUGUUGAAACCGAUUGCUGGAGAAUACAAAUGUCUAAAUCCUUCUCUAGCUAUCUAUCUAGUGGCAGCCAUAAAUCUUCUGACAGAAUUCAGGGAAGCUACUUAGGAACAUAUCCCAAGGGAGGAAAACUUCUCAGCCAAUGAAAUGGCUCAGAUAGCAACAGGGGUUCAAAUGCCUGAAGACUGUGUGCAAAGGAUCAUUAAGGUAGGAAAGAAAAGUUUACCAUCUGUUCUGGCCAGAAGGAUGGAGAUAGAUGUCAAUUCUGCCAUAAUCACUGAAGAUGACUGGAGAAUUCCCAUCAUAAAUUCUUGCAAUAUCCAACCCUGCCUUCUGAGAAAAGAGUCAGAAUCAUGACUUUAAAUUUCCUUAUGUGAAAUGGAGAUUUGGUCCGAAAAGCAAAGAUGAGGUACUUUUGAGGUGCCUGGGAAAGAAAGAAUACAUGAAGGUCAUGGGGGAAACCCAUGAAGGAAUAUGUGGAGCUCAUCAAGGUGGAAGAAAAAUGUGCUGGUUAAUUAGAAGGUAUGGCUACUUCUGGCCAACCAUAAUGAAGGAUUGCAUUGACUAUUCCAAGGGAUGCGAGGCUUGUCAAAAGCAUGGUCCAAUCCAGCGAGCUUAUUCAGUUCCCAUGAAUCCAGUAGUUAAGCCAUGGCCAUUCAGAGGAUGGGCAAUGGAUCUCAUUGGCAAAAUCUAUCCAGCCAAUAGCAAACAACACUGUUUCAUCAUUGUAGCUACAGACUAUUUCACUAAAUGGGUGGAAGCCAAAACUGUUAAAUCCACUACAUCUCAAGAGAUCAUCACCUUCAUAGAAGAACAGAUUAUACAAAGGUUUGGCAUUCCAUAAUCAAUCACAACUGACAAGGGAUCUUCUUUCAUGUCUGGGGAGAUGCUAGAUAUGGCACAAGCUUUCAAAUUUAAGCUACUUCAAUCCACUCCUUAUUAUGCUCAAGCUAAUGGACAGGCAGAAUCAAGUAACAAGGUGAACAUCAACAUUAUCAGGAAAAUGCUUGAGAAAAAUCCAAAGCAAUGGCAUGAGAAGUUAUCAGAAACUCUUUGGGCAUAUAGGACUUCAAAGAGAGAAGCAACUGGCAUGACCCCAUAUGCUCUAACUUAUGGUCAUGAUGCAAUUCUGCUUAUGGAAAUAGUAGUCCAAUCUCUUAGAAUUGCUCACCAACACAAUCUGACUGGAGAAGACUACUCUCAAGCCAUGCUGCUAGAAUUGGAGGGAUUGGAUGCAAAUUGAUACCCUCAACAAACUCUUAGCAGGGAAACAGGCUAUGUCAAGGGCUUACAACAAAAGAGUUAAAAACAAGAGUUUUGAAGAGGGAGAAAUUGUCUAGAAAGCAGUUCUGCCCCUUGGAACACACAUAGUUGGUUAUGGAAAAUGGUCACCUACAUGGGAAGGGCUUUUCAUAAUUAAGCAAAUCCUUGGAUUAGGGGCAUACAGAUUACAGGAUCGAGAUGGAGACAUCCAUGCUACACCUAUCAAUGGCAAUGGUUGAAGAAAUUCUACCCAACUAUGUGGGAUUCACAGGCUGUGCAAACCAAUCCUGGGAUAGAGAGGGAACGAGAUGGAAAUGUUGUUUAAAGUUUUUUUACAGUGUUGUGCUUCUAAAUAUAAUAUGUUAAAAGCAUAUUUUGUCUUCUGUUUUCUUUCGUUUUAUUUAAGCAAGAGAUUGAAAAAGCAAAGUUCCACAAAAUAAAUAGCUUUUAUUAAAUAUAGUCAUUUUCAUGACUAAAGUUUUAUUACAUUCAAAAAUUUAAAAUUAAAACCCUAAUUUCCUAAGGGUUUCUUGCAAAUUGGUCUUCUUGAUCGAAAGUUCCUUUUGGAGCAGCACCCCCUGGUGGAUUGAAGCCUCUGCAAUCUCCAAUGCUGGCAUGGAAGCUGAAACCAUACUCUACACAAGGAAGGUAGCCUUGGUCUUGGAACUCAGUCCAACCCCGAGCCUGUUCUGCACCUCCCUGCAUUCUGCCAACUGCUUUUGAAGCUCUUCAAUCUGCUUCUCCAGCUUAUCUCCAGUGGCCUUAGCUUCCUUGUAUCCUGCAACCAUCUGGUCCUGUUUUGCCUUCAGUUUUGCGUAAUCAACCAAAUUGGCUUCAUAAGUAGCCUUGCAGAACUCAGAGGUUUUGAAAGUGGACUUGAGAUCCUCAUAACAGUCGUGAAGGUUGAGCACAUCUCUAGCCAAACCGAGGCUCAUCUCAAGUAUAGGCUUAGGAGCCAUGUUCUGUCUGUGCAGUAGGUCCAGAUCCUUCAUCAAUUGAUCAACAGCUUCCCUAUUCUCAUCCAGUUCCAGUUCAGUGGAUUGCCAAAUCUUCACCCUCUCCAUUGCCUUAUCCACCGCCUUGGACUUGGCCUUGCCAAGAGUGGAGCUGAGCUUCUCUAGUUUGUCCAGCUGGGCAUCUAGGUCCAUGGCUUCAAACUCUGCCAAUUCUAGAUGAGCAAAAGAGCCUGUGGUAGAUGAACUUGGAAGAGAAUGGAUGGGCAUCUGCAAAAAGAGAUUGUAAAUUAGCGCCAAGUAGAAUCAGAAAAGAAAGAGGGGCAAACGCUUACAACAACAAUGGGAGGCUUCAAAGGACUGGUCAUCACUGCCAAUAUCCCAGCAGUUCUGGGCACUUCUACCUGGAAAGACUGAUCGUUAGAGAAGCAAAGAUAGGACAGAACUGUAGGAAAUAGACAUACAUAGUUAAAAUAAAAAAUUACCACAAGUUUAGGAGCAACGGCAGUUACCUUCGCUCCAGCAUCUGGGGCUGCAACAGAAAGUUCUACCUGUUCCAUAGGUUCUGAAACAGAUGGCUCUGCCUACUCCAUAGGCACUUGAAUUGCAGCAAAAUGUUCUGCCUCCACAUCAUCGAAUAGGGCCAGUUCUGAGCUUGUGGGUUCUGCCCUCUGAGCUUCUUCUUGUUGUUUAGCAAAGGCAAUGCUUUCUACUAUCACCUCAACAAGAAUCUCCUCCUACAAACAGACAAAAGUCAGAAGUUAGAAGAAGAACUGACCCAAAAGUUCAUACAGUAAUGAAUAGAGGCUCGCCUCUUCUUCAAACUCUUUGUUCUUCUCCUUUAACGGGACAUCCCCUUCUUCUUGCUCCUUCUCAUGCUCUACAGCUUCAAAGGCCUCCCUUAGUUCUUCAUCUGUGUCAGAAGUGAUUGUAGGAGCUGCUACAUGUUCUUCUGUGGCCACGUGCUCCACCACAGUCCUUCUUCUAAGUCUUUUUGACUUAGUAGGAAGAGGAGGAGGACUUUCAACUGCAAUAAACAGACAAAAAAUGGUUAGAGCAUGAGUCGAAAUUAGGCAAGAUAGAACAGAACAAAAUCAAGAGGACACAAACUUUCAAAAUUUACCUGAAGUCGCAGGCUGAACAACACCACCAUGGACUGAAGCAGUCUCUUUUCUUUUGUUCCUUCUGCCAGAAUGAGUCGCCUCAACAGCUAGUUGUUCCGCAAGAGUUUCAUCCUCUUCAUCCCCAGAGGAAAGCUCCAAGUCUCCGACAGCGAUGACAGAAGUGACUGCACAAGAAACAAACAAGUCAGAAGUCAAUCCAGCAGAAGAAUGAUAGGAGGAACAGAAUCAUGGAAAGCUUACUAAUCACUUCUCCAGCUUGGAAAAAUUACCCUCAUAUGUUCUUUGUCAGAGAAGGAUCUGUUGUAGGCAGAACAAAACGUUAGAAAUCAUCACAAAAGUAGAAUAAGCAAAGCACAGACAGAACCAAGAAUUUACCUUCUAUGGCUUGAGCAUUAAUAUCUUUCAUGGUCUGCACCAUGAAUCUAUGGGUUUCCUCUCCUGCGUGAACAGUCCAAGAGUCCCAACCAUCAAAUAGCACUUUUAGGGCAGUGCUCGAGGCAAGCAAACCAUGAAAUCUGGCCUUCCACCAAAUGUCAAACUCAGCAGAACUGCAGGAAUUUGGUUCCCAGGAUGGAUAAAAGAGCAUCUGCACUAUUGUUUAUCUUGUUCACCACACAUCUAGCAUCCUUAUGCACCUCCAGGUCAUCUGAAUCUCUCCAGGAAGAGGCCUGAUUACACCUUCUAUAUGAUUUAAGUGGAAUGAGCUGACGGCAGCCAAGCUGUCUCGCGCAGAAGUUAGGAUGAUAGACUUCUGCCCCCAAAUGAUAAUUUAGAGGCUUUCCACCUCCACACGGCAGGUCUCUUGGUAGGGUUACGCUCAGGAACUUCUUCCUGAAGCCAAUUCUUCCUCUGGUUCCUUCUCAAAUAAUCUGAAUCCAGGUUGAAACCAAGGGUAUGUUCUUCUAAUCACCACCUACCACUGAGCUGCAGAUCUCUUAGUGCAGUGCCUAAAGAACAUCAAGUACUCUUUAAUGGAAUACUUGGGCACUUCUACCAACAUCAGGGGAAGAGCCAGAACUUGUUCUUCAGGUAGAACUAUGUCUGGAAAUCUCAACUCUGGAAAGUAGACUUGCAGCCAGAUCUGGAUCAUCCAGAACGCACCAGGAGCAGACAGGUUCAAAGGGUUCUCCAGAGUGGCAGUAUGCAAGUUCUUGAACAAAUGAGCCAGAACUGUGGGUCCAAGCCCUAUGUCAGUAUGGUUGUGCAGAUCUUCUGCCAAAUGCCUAUACUCAAGCAGAACUGUUGAUGAGCGGGUCGGGAAAAUAAACCUGUUUAGCCAGUAUAAAAAGAACAACAUGUGCUGCUGAUCCUUGUCCUUCUCGGAACUAAAUUUCUUCGGGUAGUUGGAGAAAGAGCAGUUCUGGUUAAUGGUAGCUGGAGAGAUGGUGAAAGGCUUCACUAGCUUUUCCUGAUUCUUUCUCUUGUGGUAAUCACCAACUGCAUCCACAGGUCUUCCAUGGGGUCUGAACCAAAAAUCUAAGCCAUAUCCAGCAGAGUUAGAGUCAUUGGGCCCAGGCGAAAGUCGAAAGUGUUGCUGGCAGAAUUUCAGAAGCACAGAGUAGUAGCCAGAAGGUUCUUAUCCCUAUUUAUCGGCUGCUUGGAUAGAAGAAUAGCGUCAUAUAUGCCAGCCCUCUUCCAGUGAGCUCCAUAUCUAGGAAGGAGCCUAUCAAUCUAGUCUACCCACUUCACUGGACUGUUCCUCACUUCGCUCGAGGGAAACGAGCGGCUCAGGUUCUUGCUAACCCAAGUAUGGGAUGCUAAGGUAGAAGAGCUCUGGAAACACAACGGAGCUUCAGCGUCAUCUUUAAACAUAGCAACCAUUUCAGUAGGGACAUAACCGAACCAAUAAGGGCCUAUAACUAGGGUAUUCUCGAACAAAUGAAGGACAUUCUCCUCCAUAUUUUUCUUGGCAAAAUGGUGGAGCUUGCUUCUGACCUCUAUCACAUGGUUAUCAACCCCAGUACCAGUGAUGUAAUCAGGAGGAAUUGAAGAAGAGGAACCUUGGACACGGGUUGUUGGAGAUGACAUUUUCAAGAGUUCGAGUUGGAACAGAGGAAGUAAGUAGGAAAGGAUCGAGGUCUGAUCAAAAGAAAAGGGCAAAAGGUUCUGAGAAAUUGGAAACAAGUACGGAGGAGUUAGGUUUUCGGAUGAACAAGAGCUAGGGGUUUGAAUUUCUUUUAAAAAGCUCAGAAGAAGGCAAGGCGUCAUCCGUUGAUAGCUAAGCUAGUAGCUCGCUAAUAACUACCCAGUUUCCCACGAAGCCUAGCUCAGUAGACAAGACGUGGUAGACGUGGGUUAAUUGAAACAGAAGAGAGUGGCACGCAAUAUUAAAUGGCCAAAUCGAUUCAAUCUGAACCGUUACAAAUUGGAAACAAUUUCCAGAAAAACAGUUCAGAUUCAAGGGGGCAUUGUUUGGACCAACAAAUUACGGGCCCAGCCCAGCAAUAGGAGCCCAAGAAGACAAAACUCAGGACCCAGGCAGUUUGGACUAGAAUUGGAAUCGAGGGCCAAAAGUUAAAAAGCCCAAACCCAAGUCAGAUUUUUUACCAGAACCCAAAAACUGGAAGGAAGCCCAGUACAUACGAAUUGCUCAGCCCUGCUCAGCCCACAGCCCCAAAACUCAAAAUUGAGCUUAACAUGGUUAAAUGAAGGUAGAGAAAAGCCCAAAAUUGAAGAAACCUAAAGCAAUUUUAUCAAAAUUGCCAGCUCUCUACCCAAGUUGAAAAAAGGGGCCAAAACACCACUUUAAGCAAGAAGUGACGCACUCAGCCUUGAAUCACAGAGGAACCCACGUGACUAUCUGACUUUGAGAGGUAAACAAUUUCAACUUGUCACAGGAGAAGUUGAUUGGGAAUUAAUGAAGACGGGAUUUCAGAAAGACUUUUCUGAGACUCUGCAGCUAAAAGAUCAUACUCCCUUUCUAUAUAAUUCUGCAUUAGAAUAGGUGGUCUUCCCAAAAGAUAGGCAAACUACGAUUUCAAGAGAUAAGUAGAGGGAGUUGUUCAAACAAGAAAAGUAAACUAACCAUCAUGGUAGAUUGUUUUCUUUCUCUCUACGAAGAGCAACAGGGGACAAAGAAGAGUUUGUUUUUCUUUCAGAAAAAGCAAGGAAAAGACCUUCAUGAAAACUGAUCAUUGAUGGUUCUUCUCUGCCAAAACAGAUGACUUCCCUUUUUCUUUACAUUUAAAAUAAAAGAUCUUGCCUUUUGAAAAUUUGCCGCCCAUUAUUAAAAGAUUAGAAAGCCCCACUCCAGCAUUUUCUAUAAAUAUGAGAGGAGGUGAACAUAUCAAGGGACAGCCAAAAAAAUAAUCAAAAAUAAAAACUCAAAAUGAUCACUUGAUCUCAAAAACCUUCAAAACACUGAAGCAACCAAAAUCUCAUUGAGCCACAAGAAAGAGGCCAGCUACAAAUAAAAAAAACUUCUAGUUUCAAACUUAGAGAAAGAGUCAUUCAAAACGAGAUUUCUCUCGUUACAAAUUUAGUUCAGCAAAAGCCUAAUCAAGCAGAGUCUGGGUUUCUACAAAUAGACAACCUCAACAAAUUUAUGGAGAGCCCUGAUCAAGCAGAACAGGUACCACAGUGCAGUUCCAGCUUAGUAAUCCUCAAGUCUAGCCACUUCUGCCCUUUUCAAACUGAAGAGGCUGCAAUUUUGCCAGUUCAAAAAGCCUUCCAGGGCUUGAAAUAGAUUAAAGCUCUACCAAACUCGAACGUUCGUAUCGAUGUACAGCUAAAACUUAGCAGUUGAAGUUGUUGACAGUCCAGUCCAGCACAGGAACACCCAGUCCAGCCCGGAUAAGAAACUUCUAUCCAGGCAGAAAUAGAAUUCUAGCCUUCUUUUUGUCUUUCUAGAGUUGGUUUUUUUCUUUUGAGUUUUGUAAAAGGCAGUUCCGCCUGAAAAUAGUUCACUUUCUUACUAUUUAUUCUAGCCAUAACUACCAACCUUGUACUAUGAAAAAUUGUAAAGUCCUCAUCAGUCUGAGGCAAGAAAAGAACUUACUUGGGAGAUAUUCCUCACCCAAAUUCACAAUCGUUUGUUUAGAAAUCAAUAACUUGAGGCGUAAGUUAUCUAUUUUUAAGAAGUCUGCUAGGAUUUUCAUUGCUAGUAGUGGCACGCUCGCACACUAAAGAAAGUUGACUAGUUGGCCAGUCAAUGGUUCUCAAGGCAAUGGGGAACUCUACCCUACCAUCAUAGGAACAAACAUAAAACGGGUGAACAGGACCUACAUCUAAAAUCAAAAAAGCGAGGACUAAACUAAUUAUUUUUGACCUAGAUCUAAGAAGCCCUUUUAUUUAUUAUCUAACACCGUUGCAUGCCAUUGACAGUGUGCCUAUGAAUGAGGAAGAGAAAGUUGUGCUUGACUGAUGAUUGACGGAAACUUUCGCAAGUAAAUCCUCAAUGCUACCAGUUGAAGGCCCUUCAAUGCUAAAGUUAGCUUAAGGGGAUGAGAGCAAGCUAUCGACAAUGCAAGGAGUACAUAAGUGUCAAGUAGCAAGUCUACCCUGUGUCUAGGGUAAGGAGCUAUAUUUAUAGCGAGUUCUGAGUUUUUUUUGGUACUUAGUUUCGAUGUGGGACUCGUGGGAGUGCUUUCCGAGGCUGACACGCGUCCCAACAAAUAUCCUAGCGAUGAACCCGAGAACAUCCUACAAGAUGGCGUAGAAUUGGCAAGGCGUGCCAAACACACUUACCGGCCGUGGGCUGGCCAAUGAACAAUUGGUGGAUGGAGCUGGAAGGUGUCUGCCGUUUGUAGGAUUAGACCUGCCAGCAUGGGUUACAGGGCCAUGUUGUGCAUAGAAUCGGUCAUGGGUGUUGAAAAGACCUACCGAUUCAUACUAUUGGGCUUGCCAGCGUGGGCCAUGGAGCCUUCCUUAGUGUCAUACCCCUUCCACAUGUCAUGGCAUGAGAUGCAGGUCAUGUAUGAUACAAACAAACUUAAAUUAAUUAAACCCAUCAUGCAAUGCAUUUUCUUUCAACUUUUUGUGAUAAACUAAUAUAUAAUUGACUAAAUAAACAUCCUCCAAAGUUUCAAUAAAAAUUACCAAGUUUUUCUUACAAUUUUCGUAGUUUUUAUUCAAUUUUUAUCAAUAUCGAUAAUAUCUCGAUAUUUCCAUCACACUAAUUAUCAAGGGACCAGUUGUUGGAUGACACCUGGGCCAGAUUAGAAGUGCAUUAAAUGUUUCCUUUAGUAAUUCUUGGAAACCUGUGCGAGCUAGAUUGCUUAUAGAGGCGAUCUAUGGUGGAUUUUCCAGUUGUCUUUGAUUUGCUUAUGCUUGAUUCAAUCAAGAAGUGUGAAGGAGUUAUUGUCUAAGUAUGAAGCUCGGGUGGUUUCGAUCGUGAGUGGAUAUCAUCGAGCCGACCAGAUGUGAUACCCAUGGUCUAGAGAUUUGAUCGAAUCAGUUGGUCUGCUUAAUAGACUAUGACAGGUCAGGUCAGUUCUUAGAGGUAUCUAGCUGCUUGGUCACGUGGCACCAUACUAUUGGCUCAGUGAUAUGACGUGUCAACAAAACCCUCACACCGAAAACAAAAUAGAAGAAGUUUUUUUUGAGCUAAUAAUAUUCCGGAUAAACCAUAUUCUUGAAGUUUUCUCUAAAACCAUAUUCUUAUCGACGCUAUUAAGUUGACCGAUUCGUCCAUGUAUAAUUUUGUUCGCACAGAAAAAUGAGGCACACCUAUUUUCAAUCGACUACCUAAUUAGUUAACAAAUUAUGAAAUAAAUAAAUAACAAACCAUACAAUCAUGUUUUGAUUCCAAGAUGCUGACAAUGUAUGUUUUUGGGAAAAUAUAUUAGGGAGAAGAUAUUAUUGAACCACAUUAUGAAUCACUUUUCUGAUAGAUAUGAGACCUACUUGUAUUGGUGGGUCAUACCUUUAUUAGAGAAGUGGUACAUUAUACGAUACAAUGAUGUAGUUUCUCUAACAUUACUUUUAUCUUUUAUCAAUAUGUAGAUCUGUUUCGAACUUGGAAUUGCUUUCAACAUUGGGCUACGUGGGCAGGAAUUCUAGGCUUGGCUUACAAUUCUCUCAUUCUCCAACCUCUUGGAUUUGCUUGCAUGGAUUACCUCAUUGCUGGCUCAUUUGGCUUCAGUUGAGCCACAUUUAGUGCCAAAUCAAAUCGCAUCUUUGUCAUGCCUUUGGCCUUCGGAUCCACUAUGAACUAUUUUGCUCUUCUUUCAACAAUAGUCAUGUUUGAUCCAACCUUGGCUAAGGUUUGAUUCGGCUUAGCUAAAUUUGCAUUCACCAUGUUGGUCUUACAAGUGUACAAGAUAUAAUCUUUUUUAUUUAUUAUCUAACAUCGUUGCACGCCAUUGACAGUUUGCCUAUGGAUGAGGAAGAUAAAGUUGUGCUUGACUGAUGAUUGACGGAAAUUUUCGCAAGUAAAUCCUCUCUAGCAUUGCUCGUGCCGGAAGUGCAAUUGAGGAGCUGUAUGGGUUUAGUAUUUUGUGAUGAGUGUUUAAGGUGUAUCAAGGGUAUUUUUGGUAGUUAAAUAAGAUGUACUUUGUUAAUUUUAUAUUUUAAUUUAAAUAUUAGAGUGUACUUAGAUCACAGGGUGUACUCAGUUAAUUUUAGAAUUCGUUUAACCACACUCUAUUAUUAUUAAUAGUUUUCUAUCAAAACAAACCCUUAAGGUCCUUAACUAUUGGCUUGCAGCCACAUAUAAUUACUGUGGUGACCUUCUCGAAUUAUCAAUUUUUAUUCAUUUAAGUUGUUGAUCAACUGCUGCAGGCAAGUUAUUCUCCUGAACUCGAGUCCCAUCAAGAGCGGGUCAAGGGGGUGAGUAAUUGUCUCAAUUCCACAUGUAAACAAAGGCUCACAAAACUCUCCAAAAUAUACGCAUUAAUUCUUUGCUUAUUUUCCCUUUAUAAGAAGAAGAAAGCCCUUUCUAAUUCAUCAUCAGCAAUACAUAGAAUAGAACCUGAAUUCAAGAUUUCCCACGAAGUCGACCCUAACAACAAAUCAAAAACUGCACCAGUGGCCACCCAGAAGCUCAACCUAUUGGAAGGAGAUAGCGUCGAUGUCAUCGCACCAAGCCACCGCGUUGCCUACCCUCUUGGUUAGGUCGUUGAGAAAGCUCAUCCCGAGUGCGAGCAGUUCGCCAAAGCGCGCAAGCAUUUUCAGAAAUAAUUUAAGGAAUUGAAGACGAAAACCGUCUGAUAUUAAAUCAAUCUCCAAUUUCAGUGAAUUUUUCUUUUCGAUUGCAAAGAUAGAUAAAUUGUGGUUUAAGAAAUCAACAGUUACAAUUAUGAUAUAUUCACAGUUAUGUUUUGUGAAUUCACAACUAGUAUAAAUAAGGAAGUGUAAUUAGAAGUAUUAAAUCCGUGAAGAUAUUGCCAUGUCGAUUAAUCUUGUCUUUUUAUUUUUUACUUUAUUAAUUCUUAAUUAAGAUUCAAUUUAGGACCUAUUUAAAGAGAAGUAAAAUAUGAUUUAAAAUCUAUCUUAUAAACUAAUAAUCUCCUAAUCAAAAUACUAAACUUUUAACAUGUCACUUAUCAAUUAGACCUUAAUUAUACUAAGCUUAAAUUCCUUGGUCCAUACUAGUUUGAUUUUUAUUUUUUAUUUUAGUGUGAAAAUUUGGUCUUUUCUUUAAAAUAAUGUGCUAGAUAGCGUGAAAGUAGCAAAUAAAUAAUGAUGUGUUCAAAUUGGAUUUGACACACAUCACAACCCAUAUCAUCAUUAAGGCCCCAAAAAUUGAAUCAUUAUGUGCCUGGUUAAUACGUUAAGUAGUUUAUGAAGUGAUUAAGGUCGAAGAGGAUCCAUGACUUGUAAUGGAUCACUUGUUCAUUUUCUUAAAAAAAAAAUUAAAUAAAUAUACUCGCAAUACCGACUCCAUUCGUAAUUCCAUCAAUUACUCCAUUGUGUGUCUAAGUCAGAAAAUCUUCGAAGGCACGUAGAAAGACAGGUCCCCCAUCUAGUAUACUAUGAGGAAAAGGACGGCUCACAACAAGUUUAUGUCUAUAAAAUCCCAGAUGAUGCUACACAGCCCUGACCCUGAAUGCAAGAUUUCCCACGAAGUCGACCCUAACAACAAAUCGAAAACUGCACCAGUGGCCACCCGGAAGCUCAACCUAUUGGAAGGAGAUAGCGUCGAUGUCAUCGCACCAAGCCACCACAUUGCCUACCCUCUUGGUUUGGUUGUUGAGAAAGCUCAUCCCGAGUGCGAGCAGUUCGCCAAAGCGCGCAAGCAUUUUCAGAACUAAUUUAAGGAAUUGAAGACGAAAACCGUCUGAUAUUAAAUCAAUCUCCAAUUUCAGUGAAUUUUUCUUUUUGAUUGCAAAGAUAGAUAAGUUGUGGUUUAAGAAAUCAACAAUUACGAUUAUGAUAUAUUCACAGUUAUGUUUCGUGAAUUCACAACUAGUAUAAACAAGGAAGUGUAAUUAGAAGUGCACUCAAGUAUUAUAUCCGUGAAGAUAUUGCCAUAUCAAUUAAUCUAGUCUUUUUAUGUUUUACUUUAUUAAUUCUUAAUUAAGAUUCAAUUUAGGACCUAUUUAAAGAGAAGUACAAUACGAUUUAAAAUCUAUCUUAUAACCUAAUAAUCUCCUAAUCAAAAUACUAAACUUUUAACAUGUCACCUAUCAAUUUAGCCCUUAUUUAUACUAAGCUUAAAUUCCAUGGUCCAUACUAGUUUGAUUUUUAUUUUUUAUUUUGUGUGAAAAUUUGGUCUUUUCUUUAAAAUAAUGUGCUAGAUAGCGUGAAAGAAGCAAAUAAAUAAGUCAGAAAUUCUUCAAAGGCACGUAGACAAGUCCCCAUCUAGUAUACUAUGAGGAAAAGGACAGCUCACAACAAGUUUAUGUCUAUAAAAUCCCAGAUGCUCAUUGAAUGUCUUGUGCCCAUGAAAGAUUAAAUAUAUUUCCAUAGAAUACGUACCAUUUGUGCUUAUUUACUAUUUACCAUGGCUCUCACAAAUCGAGGCCAAUACCUCUCUGCUUAGCUUUUCUUUUCAUUUUGGCCAGUUUUUUAUAAGGAUGCAUAGGAGAAUGAGAGGGGAUUCGUGAUGUUCAAGGCCAACUUGGAGUUCAUUGAGGCUUUUAACAAACACAUGGGCCAGAACUACUUCACUCUAAGCUUAAAUGAAUUUGCAGACCUAACCAAUGAAGUUUCGGGAAAUUCGUAAUGGUUACACCAAACGAUCCUCCAAAUUGAUCAUGUCCAAUUCCACGAAAGCUACAAGUUUUAAAUAUUGAAAUGUCACUGAUGUGCCACCUUCAGUGGAUUGGAGAGAAAAGGGUGCAGUGACGCCUAUCAAGGACCAAGGCAAAUGUUGUAAGUAUUAAACAAGUAGUUAAAUGACGACGCAUUCACUGUUUCACAACAUAACAUGUUAUUGAAUGAUGAGGCAUGUUAUUUCAAUUUUAUAGGAUGUUGUUGGGUUUUCUCCAGCAGUGGCAAUGACAGAAGGGGUUAACCAGCUCAAAACUGGAAACUCAAUCUCACUAUCAGAGCAAGAGCUUGUGGAUUGUGACACUACAGGUCAAGAUCAUGGCUGUGAAGGUGGUCUAAUGGAUGACGCUUUCCAAUUCAUCCAACUCAACAAAGGUUGACAACUGAAGCUAAUUACCCCUACCAGGGUGUAAAUGGAACUAGUUGCAACACUCAGAAGGCUGCAUCCCAAACAGUGUCCAUAAACGGGUACGAGGAUGUGCCUAAAAACAACGAAAACGCUAUGUUGCAACCAACCAAUUUCGGUUGCCAUUGACGGAAGUGGUCUACAUUCCAGUUUUAUUCAAGUGGUGUGUUCACUGGAACAUGUGGUAUAAACUUAGAUCAUGGUGUUACCACAGUUGUAUACGGGACUAGUAGUGAUGGGACUAAAUACUCGCUGGUGAAGAAUUCUUGGGGCACGGGGUGGGGGGAGAGUGGAUAUGUGACGGUGCAAAGGGGCAUUCCUGCCAAGGAAGGACUCUGUGGUCCUUUAACUGUAGUUUCUUUAGGACAAAUGAUCUUACUGUCAAUUUUGUUAACUUUUCUGUUAAGUGCAGGGGUAAAAUGGUAUUUUUGCAUCAAAAUUGAUUAAAAUAUGAAUAAAAAAUUAAAAUUAAACUCUCUCCUUCCCCCUCUAUCUCGAUUCUUACUCCCCCAAAACUUUAAAUUUUUUUUUUUUGGUUGGUUUUUUAUUUGAUUUUCUUUUAUUGUUAUUUUAAAGAUAUAAUUUUUUAUUCAUUUUUUUGGUUUUAACGUAAAAAUACCAUUUUGCCCUUACAUUUAACAGAAAAAGUUAACAAAAUUGACGGUAGGACCAUUUGUCCAGACGAAACUAAAGUUAAAAGACCAUGGGAACCGUUUUGGAAAUUGAGAUACUCAAAUACAAAUUUGGUCAAAAUUCAGGGACUAAUAAAAUGAUCAACUCAAAUAUAUAUAAUUGAAUAAUACAGAAUCCAUUUUGAGAGCAUUAUUAAACGAACCCUAAAAUAAAUCUAUAUUUUCAUUCUUAGUGCAAUGUGGAAAUAUCUUUAAAGAAUAGAAUUUCACCAAUAUAGCAGAGCGGUUACAUUCAACAAAUAGAAAAUUUCAAUAGUCUAGCCGAUCGGCUAUACUCUAUAAAUAGAAAAUUUUUUAAAAGUGCAACCGCAUGGCUACACUCUUUAAAUAGAAAUUUCAAAAUUAUAGCCGCCCGGCUAUACUAGUUAAAUAGAAUUUUUCCAACAGUAUAGUCGCACGGAUAUACAAAAUUGCUUUUCUCAUUCAACGAAGUAGUUUUUCAUUUUUAUUUUUUCUGUAACGGGGCGGGUCAGGGAACCAGUUCCUCAAUAAAGGUUGGUAUGGGCCAAUGGCGGAUUGAAGACCGACAUAUUCUGAAUAUGGGCACCAAUAUACCAGUCGACUAGUUCUCCUAGCCAGUGGCAGUGGUUGCGGUUGAUUUCCCCCAUGAUUACCUAUUGGACAACCUUUGCCUUUUCAGUGUCCUGGUGUUUCACCAUUUUGGCCAACCAUGGUCUCCAGUACCUCGGCCAUACUUAAUUCCAGUCACCUUAAAUGUAACCCAAAAUACUUGGUCGAACUCAUUCAUUUUGGCCCGCCUUAGUUGACUCCCAUUUAUUUGUCCGCUAUUAUAGAUCUACUCAUUAUCAAUCACCAUAAUAAAGCUCCACUUCUUGUAGUUUCAGUUUCACCUGUGCCUUUGAUUAUUUAGAACAAUUUAGACUUUAAUGAUAUGGUCCAAUGUUACCCCUUAUGACUUGAAUCGGGUAAUAGUCAUUUAUGUCAUAUUGCAAUUGCAUAGGUAUAUAUAUGUUUUUUCAUAUUUUCGACAAUGUGUCAUUGUAUUUUAUGUAACUUUUUUUAAUAGGUAACAUCCAAUUUUAUUUUUGUCUAUUUUUGUAUAUGACUUAUAGGUAGUCUUCUAAUUUAUGUUCCUAACUUAUAGAUAAAAAUUUUUAAAAGAAGCAAAAAUGGACAAAUUUGCCCUUAUUUAUUUUUUGAUUUCCUAAGAAAUCCUUUACAUUUGCAUGUCUUUGAUUUGAAAGUUGAGAGGUUAUUCUGUCUUUUUUCAAAAAGUUUUGGCUUUUUCCAAAAGUGAAAGUUUUUUUAUGAGUAAAACCUAAAUUUACUUUAAUGUGUAAUGUGAAAUUGUAUUUUAUCCAUAUAUUAGGAAUAUUAUCAAAGAAAGAAUUUAAAUUUUAAAUUCUGAAAUUCAAUUACAAGGAAAUAAUGCAUUAAAUUUAGAUUUUCAAUGUGGUUUCCUUAUUUACCUCAAAGGGUAAAAUUGACACAACAAAAAAAGUAAUAAAUGUCAAAGAACCUACAUCUAAAACUAAAAACGCGAGGACUAAACCCAAUAACAGCUAUUGACAGUGUGCCUAUGGAUGAGGAAGAGAAAGUUGUGCUUGACUGAUGAUUGACGAAAACUUUCGCAAGCAAAUCCUCUCUAGCAUUGCUCGUGCAAUUAAGGAGCUGUAUGGGUUUGGUGUUGUAUGAUAGAGUGUAUUAAGGUGUAUCAUAGGUAUUUUUGGUAGUUAAAUAGGGUGUACUUAGUUAAUUUUACAUUUUAAUUUAAAUAUUAAGGUGUACUUAGAUCAUAGGGUACACCCAGUUAAUUCUAGAAUUCGUUUAACCACACUCUAUUAUUAUUAACAGUUUUCUAUCAAAACAAACCCAACCUUAAGGUCCUUAACUAUUGGCUUGCAACCAUAUAUAAUUACUGUGGUGACCUUCUCGAAUCAUCAAUUUUUAUUCAUCUAAGUUGUUGAUCAACUGUUGCAGGCAAGUUAUUCUCCUGAACUCGAGUCCCAUCAAGAACGGGUCAAGGGGGUGAGUAAUUGUCUCAAUUCCACAUGUAAGCAAACAAAGGCCUCACAAAACUCUCCAAAAUAUACGCAUUCUUUGCUUCUUUUCCCUUUAUAAGAAGAAGAAAGCCCUGUCUAAUUCAUCAUCAGCAAUACAUAGAAUAGAACCAACACAAGCAAACUCAAAAUCAACAAUGUCGACAAAGUCUAGCACUACUGUCCUUGCCUUUGCCUUUUGUUUCGUGUCCCUCCUUAGUUUCGCUUACUCCAACACCACCGACGACAAAAUCUACCUCACCGGCCUGGUCUACUGUGACAACUGCCAAUUGAAGUCUAUGACCGAGAUCAGUAAGAUGAUUCCAG